ACUGUGCAUAAAUUUGAAAAUGAUACAUUUUCGUAAGUUCAAAAAUUUAAAGAAAAUAUGGUUACAACUUUUAUGUUGAUGAUGAAGUUGAAUACAGUUCAAGAAUAUAUUUGAAAUCAAUAAUGUAUAUAUACAAAUUUAAUUAUUACAUCUGAUAUUAUUUAUAAUAUUUGGAUUUCUUUUUUGUUAUCCACUUAAACAGAUUCACACUGACUUUGUAAACCACACUGAUAACUUUAUAUCCAUGUGAACUACGAAAGAAAGUGGUUUCCUGAAACUUCGUGCUACACUAUACGCCUUUGAAUUUUGCGUUCGUGGUGUAUGAAUGAUCUCUGAGCUGAGAAAACUUUUUUGGAGGGUCUUGAUGUCUUCCAAAUAACUUGCAAAAGCUGGUCAUUCUUCUAGUUCUGAAACCAUAUUCACCAAUUGUGAACAAUCCGUUGCAAACGUGAUCCAAAACUGACCUAAAUUCCUCAUACACUCCAUUUCCCAGAAUAGCGCCUCCAGCUCCGAAUGAAGAGGAGAGAGACUACCCCUGACAUUUCUUGCCCCCAUCAAACUAUCAAAUCCUUCUAGAGUACUAUAUCAACCUUGUCCUGAAAAAAAUUCAUUAUCUUUCCAAGAACCACAUGUAAAACACUGCCGCCCUAGAAUUGACGGUUGGUUCAUAACCUCUACAUUUUGUGUUGCCCUUUGUGUGUUCAACACUUGUGCUUCAGCCCAAAGUGUUGAUUAUGUUUCUGUAAAUUUGAGCGUUUCCCCUCGGAUUAAUGUCUAGAUUGCUGAAAACUUUGCUAUUUCUUUUUUUUUCAUAUGUACUAUAGUAUCCAUGUAAAUGAAUGAUCAUACAUUUGCGAGAGAACUCUCCAGAAUAAAUGAUCCAUAUUUGUGAAGAGAGAACUAGUAAAAAGAUUAGUUGGACUUGAUGGUAUCUGUGAGAGAGCCCAAACCUGAUGAGCUGGAGGGCAUUCAAAGAACACAUGGCUUAUCGAUUCAAAUAUUAUGUGUUGUGUCAGAUGCGGAGCUUCAGACCGCAUCUGACACAACACAUAAUAUUUGAAUUUAUACUCAAAAUGUAAAUGAAAUUAAAAGUUAAUACAUUAAAUUAAAAUUUGAGGUAAGCUUUAACGAGAUUUCUCAACUCGAACUAAAAACAAACACUACAAAAAUAAGAUCUAGUAUAUGGUAAGUUUACUACAUGUGUAUGAUUUAUUUAAUUAUUAUGUGUUCUGUAGGCGCACAAUGAUAUAAUAAUCUUAUAGUUAUUAAUUAAUACAUUUAUUACUAAUUUAAAAUUGCUAUAAUAAAUUAUUGUUUAAACUGUCAAAAGUUCAAACCAAACAUCGAGUUAUAUUUAUAUUACAAUUUUUUUUGAAAAUCUUUCAUGCAUUACUUUCAUUAAUAAUAAACAAAUGUUUUUAAUUAUAUAAAAUUAAAAUUUUACUUAAUAUUUAAUCAUGGCUCUUUUUGCUUCUAAAUUUUCAAUUUUUAUGAUUGAAAGAUACAACACUAUAUAAGAGUUAUCUUUAUAUUUUUAAAAUAUGUUUUCCUUUUUUCCAACUCUUAUUAUAUUAAUUUAUACAAAAUAAACUAAUCUAAAAUAAUAUAAUUAUACAUUAUAGAUAAGAAUGACUUUAGCCAAUUUUUGACGAGAGAUUUCAAAGAGAAAAUAUCACUUCGCAAAUGAUGGUGUAUAUCAUUUUAUGGUAUUAUUAGAAUAAAAUAUUUAUACUAAAACUUUAAUAUGAUUUUAUUUACUUUAUUAAUUUUUUUCAAAUUUUGCAUACAGUAGAUAUUUAAAAAAGGUUAAAAAUAGUAAAUUUAUCUAUAAAUAAAAAUAGAAGAUCACUGUCGGCUACUUAACUUAACUUGAUAUUCAGAGACUACGAGUGUAAUAGGAGCAUACGUCGACAAAAGAAUCACCUUAAAAUGAUCAUUUCAUGGCUAUUGAGAACGAAUCAAAUUAGAUUGUUCUAUUUCUCAAUCUUUAGGACGUGCUCCUAAGGAACCAAGGAUAUAUAUAUCAAUAUCAUAAAUUCAUCGAGCAUGAAAAAACCUAUUUUACGUUGUAAAUAAUUUACUAAUUAACUAAGUAUAGCUAUAAAAAUGAUAAUAAUGCUAAAAAGUAAAAGGUAAGAUGAGUUAAGGUUUCUUACUAUUGUUUGAUAAUUCACUACAAAAAAACAAUCACAUAACGACAACAGUUUACGAUGUGACAAUAUUAUCGUCAUACAUCUAGUUUACGAGAACAUUACGACAAAAUAUAAAAUCGACGUAAUGUAGUUGUAACUUCCCGAUGAAAAAAUUCAUCAUAAAAUAGACGUAAAUUAACGACCCUUUAAGGACGACUGUAACAUGUUAUCCUAAUAUAGUUGUUAAUUUACGACUACGUUACAUCGAAAUAGUUUGCAACUAAGUAACGACUAAUAUACGAGCAAAUAUAGGGGACCGCAGAUAUAGGUAGUUGGUGAGAACGUGUUUUAUGUCUGUAUCUAUGGUUGGUUAGGAAAAGAAAAAGAGAAAUGGUCUCAAAAAAGUUGUUAAAGCACUGUAAAUCAUAUGUUGUUGUAACUUUCCCACAUUCAAAAUUUUGAAAUUUUUUUGUUUGUUUUUAAACAGAGCUGGUUGGAAGAGAAACAUGAACAAUCCCCAUUAUGGUGCUACGUUCCUUGGUACUACAUCUGUACUGGAGGGAUCCAUCAGCUUAGACUUCUGGUACCGCAUCUGCACCGGAGUUUGUCCGUGAGGGCCAGACUCAGGCUAUGCCUCCUCUUCCUCCGCCUCCGUAUGUGCCUCCCCCUCUGUAUAAGCCUCCUCCACAUCAUCCUCUGCAGACACCUCCAGUUCAUGAUGCUCCUCCUUCUCAUGAGCCUGCUCCCGGACAUACAUCCGGCUUUGAUGGUGCCAUCCGAUGCUCCCUAUGCUCAGUACUGCAAAAAUCUCCUCCGACAGCCUGGCCGAAAAGAUCGACCGCCUAACACUUAUUGGUUCAAGACAGACAAUGUUCUAGAACGAAGCGUUUCAGACACCAUCAAGGGUCUCAUACACCGGACCACAUUCGGACAAGUUUUUUGCGAAAAAAUGGCAUUGGUCUAUUGGCGUCAACAAGCGGUGAAGAAGGCGUUAAAUGAUAAGGCAAAGCUUCGCCUCAAAAACAUUAUUUCCUACUGGAAUGAGAAGUGGCUGGAAAUUGGAAAUGAUGCAAAGCCCAUCUACAUCUCCGAUAACGUUUGGAGCAGCCCGGAUGACGAUUGAUGCCGGCGGCAAUUUACCGACGGCCUACACUUCUGGACAAAUCCUACAUGACGGGGCCGCUCGGGAAGAAGAACCACCAUCUCUUAUCCGACUUUUCAAGACGACACGCCAGCACUAGGAUGGGACGUUUGUGGAUCCUAUAUCAGAAAGGAUCCACAACGAUGUGGAGUGUCAGAUUCAAGAUGUUCAAACCCAGUUGUCGCAACAAACUGUGGAUGGCAUACCUGUCCAGUUGUCCACACGAGAAUAGGACAAGAUUUUUGAACAGGUUGUCCCGAAGAAAAGGAAACGGAUGGUCGGGAUUGGUUCAGUGAACAAUGUCCUGAAGGCAACAUCAAUCUACGGUGCUGCAAGUCAAGCAGCUUCUCAGUUCCGGACAGAUUUGACCGGAGCCCACAACCUCAUAUCGGAGCUCCGGGAGGAUCAACAAGAGACUAGGAGUCAGUUAGAGGGCCAUGGCAGGGAUGUUUGAUCUCAUUGCGGAAACGAACCCAGCGCUUUCACGGAAGUGGUAGACUGUACGUCCAACAGUACACCACAAACCCACUACAGAAAAGGAGCGAAGUUGGAGCGACGGGGCGACGACCACAGUUCCCAGAAUUUUAACCUUUAGGAUAUAGAUAUUUUUUUUCUGUUUGUAUUUUGGAUAUUACAAUAAUCUUAUAUAUUAUAUUUUUAAUUUAAA